rnacentral:rRNA from 1 species
UACGGGGGGGGCAAGCGUUGUUCGGAAUUACUGGGCGUAAAGGGCUCGUAGGUGGCCAACUAAGUCAGACGUGAAAUCCCUCGGCUUAACCGGGGGAACUGCGUCUGAUACUGGAUGGCUUGAGUUUGGGAGAGGGACGCGGAAUUCCAGGUGGUAGCGGUGAAAUGCGUAGAUAUCUGGAGGAACACCGGUGGCGAAGGCGGGUCUCUGGGCCGAUACUGACGCUGAGGAGCGAAAGCGUGGGGAGCAAACAGG